GAAGAAGUCAACUUUGUCUUGAGAUAGACAGUUAUCUUCAAAGCUCUAGACGGGAACGGCUCCCUCAUAGGAGCCCAGUGAGCCAGAACAAAUCGACCAUGGUAGAUUAUUCAGUACGAUUUCAGAGUCAGUCUCUUCACACAGCACCGUCUUCAGCUGCCCGGAUGUCCACAAGACAGCCAAUCAAGCUGCACCCGUUGGAGCUGCAACCAGUCAAACAAACAGCAACAGACUCCGCGCCGACAGUUCACAUCCGGAUAACAUGAACACCUUUGAUUCUCAAGAGCUGCGAUGACAACACUUCACUCGCCUCACAUAUCAGCUGACGGCACAUCUAACCUUCUGACUGAUUUCCAAAUUAUUUCUGUUAACUAGCCGGAAGGAAAUGGAGAGAAACCGAUUGCUGCUGCUGCUGCUGCAAGAGAAGGCGUGGGCGCGGUUGGUGAAAUAUCAUGCAGAUGAUGAGCAGCUGGUGAGAAUUCCGCAAGAAGAGUUUGAUCUAGAAGUGAGGCACAUGCAAGAACAGAAUGUUGUUACGCAGAUUGAAGAACUUAUGCCGCAACAUGGAGUCAGGGUAGUUACAGACGAUCAGUCCCAGUAAUGAAUAAUUUGCAGUCUACACGUUUGCCAGAUUGUGCUAAGGAGAAGGAUUGUGUACACCUAGAAUCAGAGCAUCAUCGCAUGAGAGAACAACUAUACAGGGACUUGCUCGACAUGGACACUCCAGAGCAAGGAAGAAAGAUACAAAUGACAACAGACACGUCAACACAGUCAUGUAGAUGAAAUACCUGCGGAAGACAUUGUACAUCAAGUGAAUUGCCAUAGAAACAGUAGAAUCAGCAGGCAUUGUAUGUAACCACAAAUCUAAGAAUUUGUUAUUCAUCAAUCUCUCACUAUAUAUGGGCAGUUGUUACCUCAAACUAUUCUGGCCGUUAGGGUAGCAACUUUGUAUGUCGUUUGAUAGAUAAAGCUACUUUGUUAUGAAAGGUCAAAUGUUUAUGGAAUUUUUUUGGAUCAAGUGACUGAUGACAAGAAUUUGUAUUAGUACUUUACAGUGUCUAC